rnacentral:rRNA from 1 species
CAUGAGCAAAAUCUCAACUUUAUUAGAAGAGACGCAUUUAUUAGAUAAAAAGCCAGUUCAUGCUUUUACAGUAUGAAAAUUGGUGAUUUAUAAUAACUUAGCAAAUCGCAAAGUGAAAACAGGCGAUAAAUCAUUCAAGUUUCUGACCUAUCAGCUUUCGACGGUAUGGUAUUGGCUUACCGUGGCAGUGACGGUUAACGGGGGAUUAGGGUUCGAUUCCGGAGAGGGAGCCUGAGAAACGGCUACCACAUCUAAGGAAGGCAGCAGGCGCGCAAAUUACCCAAUUAUAACAGUUUGAGAGAGGUAGUAACAAGAAAUAACAAUACAAGGCAGUUAAAAUGGUUUGUAAUUGGAAUGAUAGAAAUUUAAACCCUUUUUAAAGUAUCAAUUGGAGGGCAAGUCUGGUGCCAGCAGCCGCGGUAAUUCCAGCUCCAAUAGCGUAUAUUAAAAUUGUUGCAGUUAAAAAGCUCGUAGUUGAAGUUCUGCUGAAAGUAACCGGUCUGCUUUUAAUAAAAGUGGUAUCUUGGUAUGUAUUUAGCAAUGAUGUCCUUUGAAGUGUUUUUUACUUUAUUGUAAUAAAGCAUAUUCAGGACUUUUACUUUGAGAAAAUUAGAGUGUUUCUAGCAGGCUUACGC